UUCGCCCUUAGAGUUUGAUCCUGGCUCAGGAUGAACGCUGGCGGCGUGCCUAACACAUGCAAGUCGAACGGUACGGUUACAGUGAAGUUUUCGGACGGAACGGUUUCCGUAUAGUGGCGGACGGGUGAGUAACACGUGGGUAACCUGCCCUGUACAGGGGGAUAACAGUUAGAAAUGACUGUUAAUACCGCAUAAGCGCACAGUACCGCAUGGUACAGUGUGAAAAGCUCCGACGGUACAGGAUGGGCCCGCGUCUGAUUAGCCAGUUGGCGGGGUAACGGCCCACCAAAGCGACGAUCAGUAGCCGGACUGAGAGGUUGGACGGCCACAUUGGGACUGAGACACGGCCCAGACUCCUACGGGAGGCAGCAGUGGGGAAUAUUGCACAAUGGGGGGAACCCUGAUGCAGCGACGCCGCGUGGGUGAAGAAGUAUUUCGGUAUGUAAAGCCCUAUCAGCAGGGAAGAAGAUGACGGUACCUGAGUAAGAAGCCCCGGCUAACUACGUGCCAGCAGCCGCGGUAAUACGUAGGGGGCGAGCGUUAUCCGGAUUUACUGGGUGUAAAGGGAGCGCAGACGGCUUAGCAAGUCUGGAGUGAAAUGCCGGGGCUUAACCCCGGAGCUGCUCUGGAAACUGACAGUCUUGAGUAUCGGAGAGGAAAGCGGAAUUCCCAGUGUAGCGGUGAAAUGCGUAGAUAUUCGGAGGAACACCGGUGGCGAAGGCGGCCAACUGGGCUUUAACUGACGCUGAGGCUCGAAAGUGUGGGGAGCAAACAGAGAUUAGAUACCCUGGUAGUCCACACUGUAAACGAUGCCUGAAAGGUGUGGGGGGUCUGACCCCUUCCGUGCCGCAGCUUACGCAAUAAGCAAUCCACCUGAGGAGUUCGACCGCAAGGUUGUAACUCAAAAGAAUUGACGGGGACCCGCACAAGCAGUGAGAUUAUGAGGUUUAAUUCGAAGCAACGCGAAGAACCUUUCCAGCGCUUGACAUCCAACUAACGAAGCAGAGAUGCAUAAGGUGCCCUUCGGGGAAAGUUGAGACAGGUGGUGCAUGGUUGUCGUCAGCUCGUGUCGUGAGAUGUUGGGUUAAGUCCCGCAACGAGCGCAACCCCUGCCAUUAGUUGCUACGCAAGAGCACUCUAAUGGGACCGCUACCGACAAGGUGGAGGAAGGUGGGGACGAUGUCAAAUCAUCAUGCCCCUUAUGUGCUGGGCUACACACGUAAUACAAUGGUCGCAAACAAAGGGAAGCGAAGCCGCGAGGCGGAGCAAAACCCCAAAAGCGAUCCCAGUUCGGACUGCAGGCUGCAACCCGCCUGCACGAAGUUGGAAUUGCUAGUAAUCGCGGAUCAGCAUGCCGCGGUGAAU
rnacentral:rRNA from 1 species